CACCAGCAUAGAUUUCUUAAACAUUAAAAUUUUUCUAUAAGUUUAAAUUACAUUUAAUUUGCACAUUAGUUAAAGUUUUAUAGGAACCGACGGAUUAUGGAUUAUUCACCGAUGAAGAAUUUGUCAUUGAGCUGAUGGGAAAUGUGUCGGCACUCGACUUCGUUUCGACCGGGAGGAAGAUUGGCAGCAUCAAUAAGAAGCACAACUUAAUAUCAACUGUCCAAAGGAUUUGUUUUGAAGAAGGAUUUGUCACAAAGCUGAUGGGAAAUGUGUCGGCUGUAUUUCAACACUGAGGACGUCUGGCAGCAUCAAUAAGAAGCUCAUCUUAAUAUCAACCGUCAAAAGGAUUUGUUUGUAUCAUAUUAUAAGUUUAAAUUACAUUUAAUCAGCACAUUAGUUGAAGUUUUAUAGGAACCGAUGGAUCAUGGAUUAUUCACCGAAGAAGAAUUUGUCAUUGAGCUGAUGGGAAUGUGUCGGCACUCGGCUUCGUUUCUACCCGGAGGAAGAUUGGCAGCAUCAAUAAGAAGCACAACUUAAUAUCAACUGUCCAACAGCUUUGAAGAAGAAUUUGUCACAAAGUUGAUGGAAAAUGUGUCGGCUGUAUUUCAACACUGAGGACGUCUGGCGGCAUCAGUAACAAGUUCAUCUUAAUAUCAACUGUCCAAAGGAUUUUGAAGAAGGAUUUGUCACAAAGCUCAUGGGAAAUGUGUCAGCACUCGGCUUCGUUUCAACCCGGAGGAAGAUUGGCAGCAUCAAUGAGAAGCUCAUCUUAAUAUCUACCGUCAAAAGGAC